rnacentral:lncRNA from 1 species
GUUUUGAAACUAAUACACGCAAGAUUGGCCAAAUUUCUAUUUUGCUUUCAAAUUAUAUUUUUAAAUGAUGAUGUUGAGUGCUAUCUGAUGUUUGCUUUAGAUCCCACGACUCUCUAUCGUGCACGGACAGAAUACCAGAGUGAAUUCAAGAGGCACUGGAAAGAGGACAGGACAGGUGAACGCUUGUGAGGCAGAUUAUGUCUUCUUUCAUGUUUUAAAAAGAAGAAAAAUUCUAGUCUGAAGUCUAGAGGAAAAACACCAGAAAAAGUAAGAUGCUUUACAUCUGACAACAUGCAAAACUAAUGUUGUGUUCUUCUUGUUUAGAUUCUGUUCAGUGGGAUAUGAUCAAUAUAGUGGAGAAAGGAAAGAAAAUCCUUCAGAAACAUUUGGAGAUUUUUGCUGCCCACGGUCUGUGUCCAAAUAAAUGUGGGCUGUUGUAUCAGAGAGUGAUGAACUGCACUUCCUGCCAGUAUGGGCUCUUUAUGUGUCAGUCAGCCAUGCCACCACUAGACUGUGGAGGUGAGACAGACAAACGCCUACGGAUACACACACCGAGAUGAUUUUAUCUGACUAUAUUAACACAGCACACUUCUCUUUUGUCCUUCUAUCUUCUUUGUAUUCGUUCUCUCAUGCGGUGUUCCUAUCAGAGCAUCAUCUUGAGGCAGAUGAAGGAGAGGAGGUGGUGCUGGACUGUUUCCUGCCCUGGCACGCUCUUGUAGUUGGGCAGAACGAGUACCAAUACUCUUGGCAUCCUGGAGAAAAGAAUCUGUCAGAUGAGGGAGAGUAUGAAGCGCUGGUGGUGACAGAGGAGUCUAAAAUUGUCCUCAAUCAGCUGAAAGUCAAUGAGGAAGGCAUCUACCGCUGCCUCCUACAGGAUCAAAAGGGUACUACGCUGUCCCGCAUGUAUUUCGAACUUAAAGGUAGGCGACGUUUAUUAAAUUUAAUAACUCAUUGUGGUCUAGAUUUGUCCUCCUCUCAUCUGUGUCUCUUUCCCUCAGUCAACCCACUGCCGUCUACAACCCCUAGACUGAUUGUGGCUUUGCCGUCCCUGCCCUCGGGUUAUGAUGCCACACUUCACGGCCUUCAGAGGAGCAGUUUCAUCAUUAUAGUGAUUUUACUGACUGUACUCAGCAUCACGGGCAGCCUUGUCAUCAUAGUGAACCUAAGGUAUGUCAUAACAGGAUGGUUAGAACAUAUUAAAAAGGGGCUUUUGGGGAAGUCGUGGCCUAAUGGUUAG